GACGAACGCUGGCGGCGUGCUUAACACAUGCAAGUCGAGCGGAAAGGCCCUGCUUUUGUGGGGAGCUCGAGUGGCGAACGGGUGAGUAACACGUGAGUAACCUGCCCUUGACUUUGGGAUAACGUCAGGAAACUGGGGCUAAUACCGGAUAGGAGCGCCUGCUGCAUGGUGGGGGUUGGAAAGUUUCGGCGGAUGGGGAUGGACUCGCGGCUUAUCAGCUUGUUGGUGGGGUAGUGGCUUACCAAGGCUUUGACGGGUAGCCGGCCUGAGAGGGUGACCGGCACCAUUGGCACUGAGCUACGGCCCAGACUCCUGCGGGAGGCAGCAGUGUGGAAUAUUGCACAAUGGGCGGAAGCCUGAUGCAGCACCGCCGCGUGCGGGAUGAUGGCCUUCGGGUUGUAAGCCGUUUUCGCCUGUGACGAAGCGUGAGUGACGGUAAUGGGUAAAGAAGCACCGGCUAACUACGUG
rnacentral:rRNA from 1 species